ACAUCUGUUAAAAUAUUUUUUUAAAUGUGAAAGCAUUCUACCAUGGCUUUUCCUUCCCAUUCAAUAAAUAUUUCUUUUAAGUCAUACAUUUUUGCCUUCUGGUUGCAAACAUUUAAAUCUAAAAUUCACCCCUCUGCACAAGGCCAGAGCAAGUCACAUGGGCAACUUUAGCCCUAUUGCUUCCUUAGAGCUUUCCUUCAUCUACUGUUAUUAGUAUAUAAAUUAAGCAGAGUAACACAGGAGAAGAAAGAUAGAGGUCCUGAUUAAAAUAAGAAGAAAGAAUUACUAAGGUGCUAAACACUGUCCCUAGUCAUGUUCAUGUGUGUCACUAGGCAAGAUCACUCAAAUAGUACUUUUUCAUGUGCUCACUGAAUCUCAUGUUACAGGCUGACCUUCAAGACACACUUGGAUAAUAGAACUGCUGCUAGGAUGGGCCCUUGAAGCUGCUAUGAAUUUAAUCAGAGGUAUUUUAAAACACAAAAUACAUUUCAAAUGGAGAUUACCUGAAAUUUCAGGAAGGAGCACUCUUUAACACAUGUGAAAUACCUGGAGAAAGCCACACUAUGCACUUAGAUGACACUGCCCUGACCUUUUAGUUCUGCUGCUGGAUCAAAGUUCCAGUAGAUCAUCUUCUUCUAAACCCAAGAGGGAGCUAAGUAUUUCUGCUGGCCAAGUAGCAGCAAUCCUUAGUUAAAAUGGAACACCUUGUCCAGCAACACAGCUUAAACCCUCCUGUACAUUGUGAGGGCCAAAACAAUCCUUGGAAAGAACCUUUGCAAGUGCCAAGAAGCAGGAGUUCUUCUGUGAAACUGGAGUCCUGAGUACUGCUUUACCCAAGGCUUAUCUCCCCAUCACUCCAGCUACUGAGGAACUCAGUGAUGCAAGCCUCUCCCCUGUUCCAUGGGGUGCAAGUCCCAUUUCACACACACCAGGACAAUCCCUGAGCUCGUGGCUGUGUGCCAGGGGCUGGCUGCAGCAAGGCUUCCCAGUCCCACAGGAACCACUGCUGCUUUGCGUGAAGGCAGCUGAGUAUCGGCUGUGCUCGAGACACUGCACAGACCAGCACAACUGCCUUCGAACUUCAGCUUUAGAGCCUUUAUCUGGUUUUCUACUUUUAGUACUUGUGACUAAAGAUUGAAUCUGGGCAAAAACAUGUCUCAUACACAAACAUGUACCAAUGUGCUUCUUUAGUUCUGAGACAAAUCUCUUUUUUUCUUAUAGUAGACUCUUAUUUUGCAGUCUUAACUAGUUCAGAAUUUUUUAAAAAUUAUGAUGGCAUGUUGAUGCUGUCUCAAUAUGGACAUCUUUGUAUAGAUUCCUCAAUUCAAGCUAACAUGUGAUUUUAGUGGAUACUUUUGGAUGUGAUUUGUUACAAUAACAAAAUAUAUCCAGAUCUAGUUUGUUUACUGAGCAAGUAUUUUUUUAAUAAUUAAAAUGUUAUCAGAAGGAAAGUAAGAAAUAAGCUGGCAGUGUAACUCAACUGAAACAUGCUUUUAGAAAAAUUCUGGUUCAAGGUGAAAAUGCCCUCUAAAUAUGGGCAUUACAGAUCUACUGUGUAGAUUACUUUUUAAAAAAAUUAUUAUUAUUUUUUAGUUUUUGUAAGUGUAGACUGCUGGAUAAAAGCAAUAAAUAUUGUUAAGUAACAGAGUAAUAGCUGCAGGGGCACAUGGCCAUGAUACCCAUUUCCACAGAGCUGUUAAAGUGGUUCCAAUUUUUUUUGUUAUGUGAACAGAUUAGUGUCAUUACAUUUUCUUAAAUACUUUAAAAAUAAGAUCAAACACAAGAAAACAAAUACAAGCAUGUAAUAAGCUAUUUCAUAGAAAGUGAGCAAUAAAAGCAGUGAGAAAAACCAAACAAAAAUCCUAAAUCCUUACAAUUUGACAGCUUUCAUUUGUGGCAUCCCCUCCACUGAUCAGAGCAGUAAGCAUUAGACAGCAGGUAAAAAACCCCUAUCCUGCUCACAAAGUUCACCAUCCAUUUAUGCAGCAUACAAAAUGUGUAGGUAAUAUUCUGCAUUAGCUUCCAUUCAAAAAGUUACUAUGCAUGGAAUUAAAAAGUGUACUUUUAAUCCUGAGUAGACUGAGACGUAUCAUUAAAAACCCCAUUCAUUCCUCAGAAAGACAAAGGCUUCCCCCAAAAGCCCGUGCACUGAUCUAAGAUAGUGACUUAAUGUAGCAUCAGAUGGAUACACGUUGCAAGAUAUCAAGGCUACAAUGAAUAAGUAGAAAAAAGAGCCCAGUAAGAUCUAUCUAUCCCUGGGCAAACCUGGGGACCUGUGCCAGUGACAAUUUCAGUUUAGAUUUAGUAUAACACUAUGCAGAACCCCAUUAACUUUGGAUCUGAUUUGUCCUUCCAGGAAACAAACAAACGUGCGUGCUUACCAAACCAGCCCAGAAAAGACAGAAGAGGAGCAGCCAGAAAGUGUCCGUGCACUUUCUGUAAAUGGCUGGUCGCCAUUCCCGUACUUCAGAAACACCAUCUCCAGAGCUCUAAAUAGAAAAAAAAAAUAAAUUCAAGAAAACAGCAGACCUAUGAAACUUCCCGUGCAUUAACCCAAGCUGCAAGGGGCGGAGAUUUCAGCAAUCGCGUAACUCCGCACGCUCGGUGCGAACCCCCGGCAGCCGUGCCCCAGCGAGGAGCGCUGUCCGGCCGCGCUCACCUGCCGCCGGCCCCCGCGCCGCUCCAUGGCCGCGCUCGCCGGGCCGCGCCGGGCCGUGCCGGGCCGUGCUCCGCGGGGGCGGCGGGCGGGCCCGGGGCGCAGCCGGCCCGGCGGGGAGAGGCU